rnacentral:rRNA from 1 species
UACGUAGGCAGCAAGCGUUGUUCGGAAUUACUGGGCGUAAAGAGUGUGUAGGCGGUGCUCUAAGUCUGUCGUGAAAUCUCCCGGCUUAACUGGGAGGGUGCGGCGGAAACUGGAAUGCUAGAGGGUGGGAGAGGAAAGCGGAAUUCCUGGCGUAGCGGUGAAAUGCGCAGAUAUCAGGAGGAACACCAAUAGCGAAGGCAGCUCGCUGGGACGGUACUGACGCUAAGGCGCGAAAGCGUGGGGAGCGAACAGG